UGUGUGUGAGAGAAAGAGAGAGAGGAUGGAGUUGGGCAAGUACCAGGAUCUUCAGAGGGAAUCAGCAAGCUGGAGAUGCAGGCCAGCCUAUGGUUUUGUUCCAGUCUGAGUCCAAAGGCCUGAGAACUAGGAGCAGUUCCCAUCUGAAGGCCAGCAGGCUGGAAACCCAUGAAGAGCUGAUGUUCCAGUUCAAGUCCAAAGGCAGGAAAAAAACUGAUGUCCUAGCUCAAGGCAGUCAGGCAGGAGGAGUCCCUCUCACUCUUGGGAAGGUCAGCCCUCUUCUUGAAAACAAAAGCUUUCAGCUGAUUGUAUGAGGGCCCCUCCUCCAUAUUGGAUCAUCCAAAAACCCUCACAGAAACACCCAGAAUAAUGUUUGAGCAAAAAUCUGGGUAACCCAUGGCUCAGUCAAGUUGACAUAAAAUAAAUUGUCACAAGCCUGUUGAGAUUCAAGUUUCAGAAGUGCUGAAUAAGAUGAACUCUUUUGAAUUAGGUGAAUUAGAUGAACGCUUUCAGCUUUAAAUUUUUAUGAUUAUGUGAAUUGACUCUAAAGCAGUGAGGGAAUCAGAGAAAGAAGUGAAAAAAUGGGGGAGUAUAUGGAGGUAAGCCCAAUGAGCCACAAUAUGUGUGAGUUAAGAUCUUUUUGAGAAAUGUAACAGGCAAGCUGCUUAUUAAAAAUGAACAGUAAUUCUGAUUGAGCAAUAAUGUAGUUAAAUUGAGCAGAAUGAGUUUCCUAUAUUCCUACCUGGUUGGAAUGUAAGCAAUUGGCAAUGGGUCCCUGGUUCUACUGUGAGACCUGUAGCCUCAGGAAAAUCACAGAUCAUUCUAGAGCAGGGCUAUCCAAUAGAACUCCCCGCAGUGAUGAGAACAUUCCACAUCUGCACUGUCCUGUAUGGGUGACUACCGGCUACCUGUAGCCGCUGGGUACUUGAAAUGAGGCCAAUGUGAUUGAAGAGCUGAAUUUUAAAUUGUAUUUAAUUUCAAUUAACAUUUAAACAGCCACAUGUGGUUAGUGGCAACUGUAGGGGACAGCCCAAAUCUAGGGCAUUUCUUUUAGCUCUUAAGAUAGAACCAUGUAGUCUCCAGCUAGGGAACUGCUAGUGUUUGCCCUGACUCCCAGGGGGGUAUGACAGGGUCCCAACAGCCUUAUGCCUGAGGAAGGAUCCUGAGUCAUUUCCACUCACCACUACCAUUUCCAACCCCAUCACCAACAAAAUAAAACUAAGCCAGCUCAGCUCUUUGAGCUUCUGGAAAUAUUUGCCUGUGUCCUGGCACAUCGUUUUUGGAAUUUUAGACCUGUGCUUUGUUUGGCUUCAGGACCUGUAUGAGGCUGGAGAGAAGAAAUGGGGGACAGAUGAGGUGAAAUUUCUAACUGUUCUCUGUUCCCGGAACCGAAAUCACCUGUUGCAUGGUAAGGCACUUACUUCAUUUCCCAAAGAAAAGGAGUGAAAGAUAGCAAAAACUAUAUUGCCCAUAAGUAGUUGAUAACCUUCCUCCUUCAGUUGGUACAAAGAACUGAUUGUACCCAAGUGUCUUAGAUUCUCACCCUGGAAAUGUAUUAGUCCAAUGAUGUAUAUGAAAGCUAAUUUCUGAAAGAUUAAUUAUGAAUAAUUAGAAAAAGUGCAUGUAGUCAUAGAAGUUUGGCAUUCUUGUUUCUAGGAAACUGACCUUCACAGUCAGUCCUUUUUCUAAAGUAGCCCCAGUAUUUUCAUUCUAAUGUAGUUACAUAUGAAAGUAAUCUGUAGUAGAUCAGGUAGCAAUAAAAUAGCAAUGUUGGUUGAUAUUUAUUCCUGUGUAAUAUCCAAGCUGUAAAGCUAAUACAAGUGAUUUCUUUAGGGGUUAUGUUGUAUAAGAUGAAUAGUGGAUAAUUUCAAAUUUGAUAUGUUUCUAAUUUGUUUCUGAUAAAUAUAAACUUUGUAAUGUGAUUUUAACUUAUUUGGGGGAAAGAUACUAGACAAUUUUAGAAUAUUUGCUGUCAGGUUCAUAUUCUUUUAAACAAGCAAGUAAGGAUAUAAUAAGAUAUUUCAUCUUUUAUACGAGUUCUUUAGAUCUUUAAGUACAUUAUAAUUUUAUAAACCCACCCACCAUACCCUUUUAAUCACACACACUGAUUUGCAAAGCUUGUGGGAAAUUUGAGAAUGAGUUUGCUAAAUUGAAAACAUAAAGCAAUUGAGAAGUACAACACAUUCUGAAGUUGUAAUUAUUUCAGGUUUUUCACAGUGACAAAAAAACAGGUGAUUACUCCUGUUAAUCAAUAUCCCGGGCUACCAUCAGGUACACAAACUUCUGACUCAGCUUCUUUCUUCACUUCCUUCCCUUGCCUGGUUACAAAUAACAGGAAUCUCCCCCUGGUGGUGUUUUCCAAGAACUGCAGGUCCUCAGAAGCCGAUUUAGUGCAUAAAUGCAUUUGCAAGAAUUUUCACUUCUGGGUACAAGUCAAUAGUUAGGCAGUUAUGAAAUAUCUGUUUGUAAGCCACUGGGAGAAAAUAUUUUAAGCACUGUUUGGACUAGGAAAACUUCAUAAUUGUCUUACCAACCAACAAUAAUGGUGAGAUUUCAUAAUAACUACCGUUUUGUUAAUAAUGUUCUAUUUUCUAGGUGCAGUGUUAAGCAUUUUAUAAGCAUUGUUUCUUGCAACACUCAAUGGAGCAGUAAUUAUUUUCCCCAUUUUACAGUGGAGAAAACUGAGGCUUAGAAAAUGUGUCAAUUAAGUUCUUUGAUUCCAAGCCACACACACUGACUUCAAUUUAAGUAAGAAAAGAUGAAAUAAUAUAGAAUGGCACAGGAGGGAAAAUGGAAAAUACUGGUAGCUCACAGAUUUGAACAGACAGCUGAACACCUUCAGGAAGAACAGAAAUCAAGGCAGUUCUGGGGGUCUCAGUAGAAGGGAAUAAUGGAUUUUAUUUCUAAAGCAGAGUUUCUGAAGUUCGUUUUCUAUUAAAAAUGCUAAAUAUUGACCCCCUACUUCAGACUGGCUGAAUUAGAAUCUCUGAGUGUGACACCCAGGAAGUUUAAUAGGUUUCUCUGAGGGUAAAGAUGAUGCAGUGCUUUUGGCCAUCCCCGUGAGCUGCUCAAUUAAAAAGUUCCCAGGAGAGAGUCUAACGGGUCCUGACUGGGUCAACUGCUCACGUGUUUGACAGAGGUUGUGGUGUAUGUUGUUGGGUAUGGUGUCCCUUGAUUGACAGCCCUGUUAAAAUCACAUUGAUGGAAGUGAGGCAGCACCCCAAAGAAGGCGAUGGUGAGAAGAUAAAAUAGAUACCUGCUCUAAGAAGUUUCCAGAAGGAGACAGCAAGAGAGGGGAACAUAUUCACCACAUUCAAAAAUACUUGGCAAAAAACAACAACAAAUGUAAUUAUGUUUAAGUAUUUUAAAAGAUGCAACCAGCUGUUAUUAACUGUGACUCAGUUCUGAAGCAGUUGAAUUGUUCUAGUUUUGAUGAGCCAAAAGGGAGAUGACAGGGAGGUGAUUGCCAAGGACAAAAACACAAAAAGACACAUUCUGCUUAUUAAGGAAACAAUGAGAAAGGAAAGCAAAGCUCCCCAGAGGCCAUCUCCAUUUUAUGUGUGAGGGUCCCAGAUAAGGGAAAGGACUUGACUGAUGUCCUCCAAACAUCACAGCAUUUCUUCCUCCUUAUCUGGGGCCCAUUCCACUCUGCACAUCCCUCCUGGCUGCUUGCCCACAUUACUAAUUAGUUUCCUCCUGAAAUAUGCCAAAGAAUAAAUAGUGUAGGCUAGUUAAAAAUGCUCAUUCUCUCCAUAAAUUUUAGUUUCCUCUGUUUUUUCUUCCCAAUAAUACUAUUUUGUUAUUGUCUGCAGUGUUUGAUGAAUACAAAAGGAUAUCACAGAAGGAUAUUGAACAGAGUAUUAAAUCUGAAACAUCUGGUAGCUUUGAAGAUGCUCUGCUGGCUAUAGUAAAGUGCAUGAGGAACAAAUCUGCAUAUUUUGCUGAAAAGCUCUAUAAAUCGAUGAAGGGCUUGGGCACCGAUGAUAACACCCUCAUCAGAGUGAUGGUUUCUCGAGCAGAAAUUGACAUGUUGGAUAUCCGGGCACACUUCAAGAGACUCUAUGGAAAGUCUCUGUACUCGUUCAUCAAGGGUGACACAUCUGGAGACUACAGGAAAGUACUGCUUGUUCUCUGUGGAGGAGAUGAUUAAAAUAAAAAUCCCAGAAGGACAGGAGGAUUCUCAACACUUUGAAUUUUUUUAACUUCAUUUUUCUACACUGCUAUUAUCAUUAUCUCAGAAUGCUUAUUUCCAAUUAAAACGCCUACAGCUGCCUCCUAGAAUAUAGACUGUCUGUAUUAUUAUUCACCUAUAAUUAGUCAUUAUGAUGCUUUAAAGCUGUACUUGCAUUUCAAAGCUUAUAAGAUAUAAAUGGAGAUUUUAAAGUAGAAAUAAAUAUGUAUUCCAUGUUUUUAAAAGA
rnacentral:lncRNA from 1 species